rnacentral:lncRNA from 1 species
GAAGACAUUGAAGACUGCUAACUAUUGGAAUGCUUGCUUGGAUAUUAUGGCUAUCUUUAUUUGAUGCCUUGGUCUUCAUAUGGUUUGCUUGGAUAUUACUUAUACUUGUUGCCAUCUAAAGUCCAAAGGAAAAUGAGUUACUAUAUGACAUUCUUGUCUGUUGGAUUGCAUCCCAUUGGUCAGAUCUUUUCAACUCUUAACUUUU